CCGGCCACAGAGUAAGCGGCCAGUAAAUGCUGAGUACUGUGACUAGAACCCUGGUGAUGGUGGUGGUGAUGUGAUGAUGUAGUGGUGAUGGGACGGUGGUGGUGGUGGGGACAGUGAUGGUGGUGGUGGUGAUGGUGACGGUGGUGGUGACAGUGGUGGUGGCGAAGUGAUGGUGGUGGUGGUGAAGGUGACGGUGAUGGUGGUGGUGAUGGUGGUGAUAAGGGUAAUGACAGUGACCGUAACGAUGACGACAAGGUUAUCACGAAUUUUCCCCACCCUAACACCCUUUCCUCUUCCCUCCACUUCUCUAACUUCUGUUUAGUCUAACUUCAGUUCUUACAAUGUUGGCAUGAGUUUUCCAGAUAACACGUACAGGCACACCUUUCUUUUCUCAACGGGAGUGAAAUACCACUAAUUAAUGGGCAAAGGAUUCAAAAAUGCUUAUCAUUGCAUCCAGUGAAAAAUGAUAUUAAAAGUUAAACGAGCCUCUCAGCAGAGCGGCUCCCCCAGCAAUCCCAAAUUAAAGAUAUGAGGCUUGCAAGAUGGGAAAUGACAGGCUUUUUGAUUCUGAGCAUGGUGAAUUUUCGUUAGUGGUAAUCGUAGAUGGAUUUGAAGUACCUAAAAUGAAAAUACAAAUCACAUUCCCCAGGACCGCAAACCGCAGAAGAACGUCUGUGCUGGUUUGACACAGUUGUUUUCCUUUCACACAACAGGCAGCACGUCCGCAUCUCCACACCCAGCUUGAUGACCACGACACGCUUGGAAGAACCUCACAUUUUCGGCAACUCUCCGCUGUUAAUGGUUCAGGUUCUAUGGAACGUUUAAAGGCAGUGACUGAUAUUUUACUGUGUUUCUUCCAUGCACUGCAGUUUAUAUGGGAAAACCGGUUUCAUUGUCAUUUCUGCAUCAGACAGACUACAGCUCAUGCAUGAAAACCUGCGUCUCUAAUGCAAAGAGCGUGGCUGCGGCAGCAGCUGAACUCUUUUCCAGGGUCUGUCCUGGCUCAGAAAGAGCUGGAAUUUGGUGCUGGCACCCACUGGACCCUGGGCAUCAUUCAGCAAACAUUUCCUGGGUGGACAUCAGGGAGCCAGGCUCCCCACCGGUGGUGGAGGCCACAGGUGACAACGCCCGGCUCUGCCUGCUGGAGGCGCUGGUCAGCCGCUAACGGCGCAGCGGCCCCGUGGGUGGUGCGUGAGGACGAUCCACAAAGCACGCAUGUUCAGGCUCCCACUCCACUCUGGACCCUCGGCCCCUCUGAGGCAGCGAUGUCACCUGACUUCGUCACCCACCCAUGAUCCUGGCCCCUUCUCAGCACAGGAGGGAGCGGCUCCCGGGACCAGAGGAUUCUGCGCUUCAAGCCCAGAGGGAAUGGCUGCUUCCUGGAUGGAAGACAAUUUCCUCACCAACACCCGAGCCUAUCGGAGGAGGAAAAGCAGGCACCUUCUGAACACAAGCAGACGAUACCCGGAGCGUUAACUGCAGUGGUCAGGACCCGGCAAGAAGAGACUGGCACGUCCCAGAGGGGUGAUUAAAGGAGAUUCUCGAAGGCUAUUAUAACGGCGUGGACAGGUUUCAUGGCAACAGGAUGAGGACGCACCUGGGGGCUAGUGACAGUGGCCUCCAGGCCCUGGGGACGAGGGGAGGGCUGCUGCCAGGGAACAGGAAGGACCUGGGAGGGUGCCCGCCUGCCCCUCCUCGCUGGG
rnacentral:lncRNA from 1 species